rfam:Brassica oleracea var. oleracea cultivar TO1000 chromosome C6, whole genome shotgun sequence
CUAUAGGUGUCAGUUGACACCACAAAUAUGUUAAAAUAAAUAUUUG